GACGAACGCUGGCGGCGUGCUUAACACAUGCAAGUCGAACGGAAAGGCCCUGCUUUUGUGGGGUGCUCGAGUGGCGAACGGGUGAGUAACACGUGAGUAACCUGCCCUUGACUUUGGGAUAACUUCAGGAAACUGGGGCUAAUACCGGAGAGGAGCUCCUGCUGCAUGGUGGGGGUUGGAAAGUUUCGGCGGUUGGGGAUGGACUCGCGGCUUAUCAGCUUGUUGGUGGGGUAGUGGCUUACCAAGGCUUUGACGGGUAGCCGGCCUGAGAGGGUGACCGGCCACAUUGGGACUGAGAUACGGCCCAGACUCCUACGGGAGGCAGCAGUGGGGAAUAUUGCACAAUGGGCGGAAGCCUGAUGCAGCAACGCCGCGUGCGGGAUGACGGCCUUCGGGUUGUAAACCGCUUUCGACUGUGACAAAGCGUGAGUGACGGUAAUGGGUAAAGAAGCACCGGCUAACUACGUG
rnacentral:rRNA from 1 species